rnacentral:tRNA from 1 species
GAAAGCAUGGUUCAGUGGUAGAGUGCGUGCUUAGCAUGCACGAGGUCCUGGGUUCAAUCCCCAGUACCUCCA